rnacentral:piRNA from 1 species
UGUGCUACACAAGAUUAAGUCGCUCUUC